GACUAUGCGUUCUAUUAGUUUGUUGGUAAGGUAACGGCUUACCAAGACUACGAUAGAUAGGGGUCCUGAGAGGGAGAUCCCCCACACUGGUACUGAGACACGGACCAGACUCCUACGGGAGGCAGCAGUGAGGAAUAUUGGACAAUGGAGGCAACUCUGAUCCAGCCAUGCCGCGUGUAGGAAGACUGCCCUAUGGGUUGUAAACUACUUUUAUAUGGGAAGAAUAAGGUCUACGUGUAGACUGAUGACGGUACCAUAAGAAUAAGCACCGGCUAACUCCGUGCCAGCAGCCGCGGUAAUACGGAGGGUGCAAGCGUUAUCCGGAAUCAUUGGGUUUAAAGGGUCCGUAGGCGGGCAUAUAAGUCAGUGGUGAAAGUCUGUGGCUCAACCAUAGAAUUGCCAUUGAUACUGUAUGUCUUGAAUUAUUGUGAAGUGGUUAGAAUAUGUAGUGUAGCGGUGAAAUGCUUAGAGAUUACAUAGAAUACCGAUUGCGAAGGCAGAUCACUAACAAUAUAUUGACGCUGAUGGACGAAAGCGUAGGUAGCGAACAGGAUUAGAUACCCUGGUAGUCUACGCCGUAAACGAUGGAUACUAGUUGUUUGGUCUUCGGACUGAGUGACUAAGCGAAAGUGAUA
rnacentral:rRNA from 1 species